rnacentral:rRNA from 1 species
CAGCCGCCGCGGUAAUACGAAGGGUGCAAGCGUUAAUCGGAAUUACCGGGCGUAAAGCGUGCGUAGGCGGUGAGUUAAGUCUGCUGUGAAAUCCCCGGGCUCAACCUGGGAAUGGCAGUGGAUACUGGCUCGCUAGAGUGUGUCAGAGGAUGGUGGAAUUCCCGGUGUAGCGGUGAAAUGCGUAGAGAUCGGGAGGAACAUCAGUGGCGAAGGCGGCCAUCUGGGACAACACUGACGCUGAGGCACGAAAGCGUGGGGAGCAAACAGGAUUAGAUACCCGCGUAGUCCCUGUCUCUUAUAA